rnacentral:misc_RNA from 1 species
GAGCUUGUUUUCCCGGUUAAUGUCGCGAUGGCUGGCGGGCUGCGGCAGGAGCGCUAGAAUGUCGGAAAUAACGGUGGAAUCUUCCUGACUGUAGUGCCUGGUUUACAACAACUUCGUCCAGUUAUGGAAGCUGCAGCCUCCCCUAGGAGGCCCAGCAGCAACGAUGCCUUGGCCUUGCGGCUGCUGCGGACGAACACAUGGAGCUGCUACUGUGGACUGCCCUUGUGGGGGUUCACUCCUACAAGACUGAAGGAGAUAAUGCGGAGCAUGCUGUCGGACCUUCCAGACAGCGAGGGGCGAAAACCACGCCUCUUGUGUCGGCCAUGCAACGUGGCCAGCGAUCAUGGAAGGCAGGGUGAGGAGGCGUUCUUCUGCGUGGCAGCCUCGGCGUCGCAGAAGCCCCACGCCGCCGGACUGGUGCACUGCGGCGAGGACGUAUCGCUAGUGUUGCUGUCGGGGUCACCAGGCGCACGGUCUCUUAUGGCCAGUCAGCUGGGUGAAUGCUUCGGAGCCACCCUGAUGGCAUUGCAGCUGGCACCCUGGCAGCUGUCCCUGGUCAUGCUGUGGGGCUGCAACUGCAUCGACACAGACGGAACGUCGCAGUGCUGUCUGCAACUGAACAUGGACGGCAUCACAUUGGGCUUCAGUGGUGCGCAGGUGCUUGGCCAUCUGCCGCGCUCGACGGGCCUCACAUUCAACGAGGGAAGGAACCUACUGCUUGCUUUCUGCAAGACCGCAUCGAAGCAAGUGCUGCCCUUGAACUACCAGGAACUACCCCUGCGGCGUGUGCACUUUGUGAACCUGUUCUCUCUGGAUAACGAGGGGACAAUGAACGUGCACAAGACUACCCUGGUGCCCGAGCUCUUCGAUGUGCUCCUCUCUUUCGUAAAGAACUCGGUGUUGGGCAUCCCACCUCCCGACCUUGAGGAAGAGUAGCAGCUCGUUGAGACCGAAGCAAGGUAAUGGCACGAGAGCUCUCGGUGGACAUUAGUGAAUCGGUGCACAUCCACUGGGCCGGGUCGACCAUCACGAAAGCACGAGCAUCCUUCCGAACUACUUGUGUGCACGUUCCUUUGCCAGUGACUUUCACGACAGACGUGUUCAGUUGGGCCCACCCGUCAGGGUUGCGGGAUGCUCGCCCACUCGGUCGGCCAUUCCUGCCCCAUUUGAAACAGUGCCAUCAUACGAAGUGCAUUAAGCGUGUUUAGUUAGCUUUUUUUCCCUAUGCUCAGCCGUAAUGGAAUGCCUGACAAGCUUUCCAGGAUGCGCAAAGGUGCAAAUGUGCAUCGUUGCUGCAGGACAUGUCAGGUUCACUGACUACCCUAUCAUUCACGGAAUGACGUUUAUGUAGGCUGCGUCACAAAGCUAAGGCCGAAACACUCACUGGCCCAUUUACUCAUUAGAAGAGAGCCAGGACUUAGCGUGACAAACUUAAGAAAAGUUAAUGAGAGAAAAGUACGAAAGGGGUGAACUUUGUGCAGUAUUCAGAUAAAUAUUGCCAAGAAUAUUUUGCACAAAUUAAAAGGUAUAAACACCUUACACAAGUGUCAAACACAGCCUUGCCACUUUUUAGCAUGCGAUGCCAUCAUGGCUUCAACAAGUGAUAGAA